CAUUGAUGAUGUCACCAGUGUUUGAGCUUUUUACUGUGGUCAUGGUGGUGUGUUAGAAGUGGACCAUAUGUUGCUUGAGCUUAUGAUUUUAGUGAAGAAUUGGGUGUUCUGUUAUUGAGAAGACUUGUAUGUAAACUUAGAUUAACAUGAUUAAUUAAAUGCAUUAUAUAAAAGUUCAAUCUCUCAUUUAAUUAAAUCAAGGAAAUUGUCUUCUUCCUGAUAGACCUGGAGAGCAUUUUCAAAAAAUCCUAAUUAACAGGGACGAACUAUCAUCUAAUGGGGCGAAUUGGUACCUUCUGAAACAUAAGUCAUGGUUUCUCUUCCCUUUCUCAAUUUAACCCUUGCUAAAAUUUUACAGAGCAUGCUGAAAGAAGUUUGGUCAAUUAUGUCUUUGUAACCCUCAAAAGACGGCUUGAAAGUGCUAUUUGUUUGGAAAAAAAUGUAGUAUAAUCACGAAUUUAGAUUGCUAAUCAGACAAAACACAACACCUUUGACUGAAGUGAAGGGGCUCCUGUUGGGAUCAUGGAAAUUAUGUUGGUGUUAUUGAAGCAAUUUGUAGACUGUGUAGAGAAAAACUAUUUGGAAAUAACAGUAUUGAGCAUGUUGAGGAGGAGAACACUAUUGAGACAAAUACAAAGAACAAGAUUGCAGAAGCUGAAAUACUACCACCUUAAAGAAAGAGGGCACUUGAUAAAGUACCAGGGAAGCGUUACAGGGUGAAGGUUGUUGACACAAUCCUUGAUUUAGAUGUAACCAAGAAUAAAGAAACAAUAACCAAUAUUACAAGUUUUUACAACUUUAGAUUUGAGAGCAGUCAUUUGAGGAUGUGGCAAACAUACAAUAUUGAUGAAGGAAAGCUUGUGACUUUAAAAUCAACAAAGAAUUCUGUGCAGUUAAAAGUACUCAAUGACUGGACAGAGAUGUCUUUUAAUGACCUCAUUACUGAAGGAACAGAACAGGCUUCAAAACAACAGAAGCAGACAUUCAUUUGUUCUAUGGAUGGCUGCAUUAAAGAGUUCAAGAACCAGAUUAGUCUUGAUCAACACCUCCUUCAAGGCAGCUGUGAAUAUAAGCUAGAGAAAGGCCCAUUAAAAGAUCAGGCAAAAGUUCUAUAUGCCCAAAAGCUGUCAAAUAAUGUACAUCAUUGUCCUGAUAUGCAAGCAGUCUUACUAGAAAAUGCAUGUACUACAGACUUGAGUGCCAAAGAAAUGUGAUGGGCAUUGAAAGUGAAAAAGAAAAAGAUUUUCUUUAGCAUCAAACAGAAAGAAUUCAUGACAGAUUUAUUUUAUUUAUCUUGAAAGGAUGCAAGAAGCAGCCAUAUUGGAUUCAACGACAUUAUAUUUUCCCAAUAAACAGGCGAAAUAGAAAAAAAAACGCCUACCUUAAACUACUUUUUAAUAGCUUAUAUCCAAAUUUGAAGCAUAAACAAAGCCCCAAAACAUACUAUAUGUUACAGUUUUACACUUGAAGUAUUCAUAUGACGUCAUGAUGUUGCUAUGAAGUUUAUGUGCCAAAGAAGUCAACAACAUUUUGUGGAAUUUUUAUUUUAAGCAACUAUAUGUCCAAAUAAAAAACAGAAACAAUAUCUUUAUUGACUAUUGCAUUAGAAUGGAUAUAACUGUAUUGUAUUUUAAGGUUUGUGGACGUAAAUCUAGAUUUUACUGUUGCAAUUAUCCGUUUACCUAGCUCUGCUACAGGUCGCUAGGUAAACUCAAUUUGCGACAGUAAUAACUACGUUUUAUGUCCGAAAAGGUUAAAAUACAAUACAGUUAUCUCCUAAAUUACCUACACAUGAUUGCACCAAUAUGAGUUUAAUAUAAUGAAACUUGCAUGUACUUAGAAGGUGUUUUAUUCUUAUUUUAAAUGUUUAAGUCGGACCAGCAUUUUACCCACAUUGCUUUAUAAAUAGCAAACUUUGUUGAUCUGUAUCAGUUAAAAACUAAUAUGCACAAUCAGUUCUUUCUUCCCUCUGUAUUCAAUUACAAAAUUAAAUCUUUAAAAAUGUAAAGAUACAUACUUAAUUUUAGAAAGAAAAAAAAAUUGUAAAAUUUUCGAAAUUCGGUUACCAUAGCAACCAUUUUUAUUAAAUUUCAUUAAACAAAACU